AAUCAACGCUGGCGGCGUGCCUCAGACAUGCAAGUCGAACGAUUAAAGCUCUCUUCGGAGAGUGUAUAGAGUGGCGCACGGGUGAGUAACACGUAAGUAAUCUACCCUCGAGUGGGGAAUAACAACCGGAAACGGUUGCUAAUACCGCAUAAUGCAGCGGCACCGCAAGGUGACAGUUGUUAAAGAUUUAUCGCUUGAGGAGGAGCUUGCGGCAGAUUAGCUAGUUGGUAGGGUAACGGCUUACCAAGGCUACGAUCUGUAACCGGUCUAAGAGGACGGUCGGUCACACUGACACUGAAUAACGGGUCAGACUCCUACGGGAGGCAGCAGUCGGGAAUUUUGGGCAAUGGGCGAAAGCCUGACCCAGCAACGCCGCGUGAAGGGAUGAAGUAUUUCGGUAUGUAAACUUCGAAAGAAUAGGAAGAAUUAAUGACGGUACUAUUUAUAAGGUCCGGCUAACUACGUGCCAGCAGCCGCGGUAAUG
rnacentral:rRNA from 1 species